rnacentral:rRNA from 1 species
AUUGAACGCUGGCGGCAUGCUUUACACAUGCCAGUCGAACGGCAGCGCGGGCUUCGGCCUGGCGGCGAGUGGCGAACGGGUGAGUAAUGCAUCGGAAUGUGCCCAGUAGUGGGGGAUAGCCCGGCGAAAGCCGGAUUAAUACCGCAUACGACCUGAGGGUGAAAGCGGGGGACCGAAAGGCCUCGCGCUAUUGGAGCGGCCGAUGUCGGAUUUGCUAGUUGGUGGGGUAAAGGCUUACCAAGGCGACGAUCCGUAGCUGGUCUGAGAGGACGACCGGCCACACUGGGACUGAGACACGGCCCAUACUCCUACGGGAGGCAGCAGUGGGGAAUUUUAGGCAAUGGGGGCAACCCUGAUCCAGCCCUGCCGCGUGCGGGAAGAAGGCCUUCGGGUUGUAAACCGCUUUUGUUCGGGAAGAAAUCCUCUGGGCUAAUACCCCGGGGGGAUGACGGUACCGGAAGAAUAAGCACCGGCUAACUACGUG